rnacentral:rRNA from 1 species
CCUACGUGUGGCAGCAGUGAGGAAUAUUGGUCAAUGGGCGUAAGCCUGAACCAGCCAAGUCGCGUGAGGGAUGAAGGUUCUAUGGAUCGUAAACCUCUUUUAUAAGGGAGUAAAGUGUGGGACGUGUCCUAUUUUGUAUGUACCUUAUGAAUAAGGAUCGGCUAACUCCGUGCCAGCAGCCGCGGUAAUACGGAGGAUCCGAGCGUUAUCCGGAUUUAUUGGGUUUAAAGGGGGCGUAGGCGGGCUUUUACUGUAUCGGUGAAAGUAUGUGGCUCAACCAUAGAAUUGCCGUUGAAACUGGUGGGCUUGAGUAUGUUUGAGGCAGGCGGAAUGCGUGGGGUAGCGGGGAAAUGCUUA